ACGCUCGACACCUACGGGAGGCAGCAGUGGGGAAUAUUGCACAAUGGGGGAAACCCUGAUGCAGCGACGCCGCGUGAGCGAAGAAGUAUUUCGGUAUGUAAAGCUCUAUCAGCAGGGAAGAAGAAAGACGGUACCUGACUAAGAAGCCCCGGCUAACUACGUGUCAGCAGCCGCGGUAAUCUGAGCGGGCUGGCAAGGC
rnacentral:rRNA from 1 species